rnacentral:ribozyme from 1 species
AGUGUACUUAACAGCCGUAACAAAAGCACUCAUGUUGCAGCCCUUUCAGAUUCUAAUGAAUCUGUGAAUUCUGCU